rnacentral:rRNA from 1 species
AGUCAUAUGCUUGUCUGAAAGAUUAAGCCAUGCAUGUAUUAGUUUAAGUUUGUAUAUUGCUGAACUGCGAAUUGCUCAUUAUAACAGUCGUAAACAAGUUGCAUCAUUUUUAUUACAUGGUUAGCUUUGUGAAUUCCGAAGGUAAUACAUGGUUGAAUCCAAACUUUGCGGAAUGGACGUACUUACUAGCUCAAUAAUCAACUUUGGUUUCAUCCUUAAGAAUUAUUGAAACAUGAUAAGAAGAUGAAUCGUAUGGUUUCUGCCGACGAUAUUGCAACAGUGCGUCUGACCUAUCAGCUACAGACGGUAUGAUAUUUGCUUACCGUGGCAAUGACGGGUAACGGAGAAUUAGGGUUUGAUUCCGGAGAGGGAGCCUGAGAAAUAGCUACCACAUCUAAGGAAGGCAGCAGGCGCGUAAAUUACCCAAUCUCUGCUAGAAGGAGGUAGUGACAAGAAAUAACAAUGCAGGGCAUGUAUGUCUUGCACUUGGAAUGAGUAUGUCCCAAACAUGUUUAUGAGUAUCAAU